rnacentral:rRNA from 1 species
GCUCCAAGAGUGUAUAUUAAAGUUGUUGCAUGACGCUGUAUGACUACGAGUCUUUUUUGAAUGGUUUCGGGACACGUGGUAAUGAUUGAUAUGAGGUGUUGGGGAUACUCAUAUUUGACAGUUAGAGGUGAAAUUCUUGGAUUUGUCAAAGAUGAACAAAUGCAAUAGCAUUUAUCAUGGAUGUUUCAUUUGAUCAAGAA